rnacentral:rRNA from 1 species
CCUUAAUAGCGGCUGCACCAUUAGGAUGUCCUGAUCCAACAUCGAGGUCGUAAACCCCCUCGUCGAUAGGGACUCUGGGAGAGGAUUGCGCUGUUAUCCCUAGGGUAACUCGGUCCGUUGAUCGGCGUUCGCCGGAUCAUUUUUGGUCAGAAAUUCUGGUGCUUAGAGUUGUGGCUCUUGGUUGUGGGGGCAGUGCCCCCAGUCCACAUGGGGGCUUUGUUUUCCCCCGCGGUCGCCCCAACCAAAGACAUAGGGGCUAGGGGUCACUGUGUUUUUACUUGUUAAUUCAAGGUUACUUGACGUGAUCUGCCUGGUGUCUAAAGCUCCGUAGGGUCUUCUCGUCUUAUGUAUUUAUGUCCGCUUCUGCGCGGG